ACAUAUCAAUAAGCGGAGGAAAAGAAAUUAACAAGGAUUCCCUUAGUAACUGCGAGUGAAGUGGGAUGAGCUCAAAUUUAAAAUCUGGUAGUCUCUGGCUGCCCGAGUUGUAAUCUAGAGAAGUGUUUUCUGUGCUGGACUGUGUUUAAGUUUCCUGGAUAUGGAACAUCAUAGAGGGUGAGAAUCCCGUCCUUAAUACAGACUCCCCAGUACUAUGUGAUGCACUCUCAACGAGUCGAGUUGUUUGGGAUUGCAGCUCAAAAUGGGAGGUAAAUUCCUUCUAAAGCUAAAUAUUGGCGAGAGACCGAUAGCGAACAAGUACCGUGAGGGAAAGAUGAAAAGCACUUUGGAAAGAGAGUUAAACAGUACGUGAAAUUGUUAAAAGGGAAACAAUUGAAGUCAGUUGCAUCUACUUGGACUCAGCCUUACUUUUGGUCUGGUGCAUUUCCUUGUGGAUGGGCCAGUGUUCAUGUUGAUUACUGGAAAAGGGGCUAGGGAAUGUGGCUCUUUUGGGAGUGUUAUAGCCUUGGCUCAUAUACAGUAAUUAAUAUGGAGUGGUACAGCAUGCUUCGGUGGUGCUUGUGCUGGCAUAAUGGCUUUAAAUGACCCGUCUUGAAACACGGACCAAGGAGUCUAACAUGUCUGCAAGUAUUUGGGUGAUAAACUCAAAUGCGUAAUGAAAGUGAUAGCUGGGAACCCUGAAAAGGGGGCACCAGUACCCCGAGCGGAUCUUCUGUGAUGCAUCGGAGGUAGAGCAUAUAUGUUGGGACCCGAAAGAUGGUGAACUAUGCCUGAAUAGGGUGAAGCCAGAGGAAACUCUGGUGGAGGCUCGUAGCGAUUCUGACGUGCAAAUCGAUCGUCAAAUUUGGGUAUAGGGGCGAAAGACUAAUCGAACCAUCUAGUAGCUGGUUCCUGC
rnacentral:rRNA from 1 species